rnacentral:misc_RNA from 1 species
GAACGCAUCUUGCGCCCUUUGGCUAUUCCGAAGGGCAUGCCUGUUUGAGUAUCAUGAACACCUCAACUCUCAUGGUUUGCCAUGAUGAGCUUGGACUUUGGGGGUCUUGCUGGCCUAUGGUCGGCUCCUCUCAAAUGAAUCAGCUUACCAGUGUUUGGUGGCGUCACAGGUGUGAUAACUAUCUACGCUUGCGGCUUUCCAUCAGGUAACCUUCAGCGAUGGAGGUUCUCUGGGGGCUCAUAAAUGUCUCUCCUCGGUGAGGACAGCUUUUUGAACGUUUGAUCUCAAAUCAGGUAGGACUACCCGCUGAACUUA